AACGAACGCUGGCGGCAGGCUUAACACAUGCAAGUCGAGCGAAGACUUCGGUCCUAGCGGCGGACGGGUGAGUAACGCGUGGGAACGUGCCCUUUGCUACGGAAUAGCCCUGGGAAACUGGGAGUAAUACCGUAUGUGCCCUUCGGGGGAAAGAUUUAUCGGCAAAGGAUCGGCCCGCGUUGGAUUAGGUAGUUGGUGGGGUAAUGGCCUACCAAGCCGACGAUCCAUAGCUGGUUUGAGAGGAUGAUCAGCCACACUGGGACUGAGACACGGCCCAGACUCCUACGGGAGGCAGCAGUGGGGAAUCUUAGACAAUGGGGGAAACCCUGAUCUAGCCAUGCCGCGUGAGCGAUGAAGGCCUUAGGGUUGUAAAGCUCUUUCAGUGGGGAAGAUAAUGACGGUACCCACAGAAGAAGCCCCGGCUAACUCCGUGCCAGCCGCCGCAGUA
rnacentral:rRNA from 1 species